CUGUUUUCCCCUUUUGUAUGAUUAUGGUGUGUUUUGUUGGUCAGCAACUAUUCUGUCGUUCAUUUCGUUUAGCGACUCGUAAUUUGCAUAUGUUUGCGCAUCGCACAUGUUUCGCGUGCGCAGGUGUGAAUGAUUCUAUUUGGUAAAAUAGGCUUGGUAUAAUUAAUUUUGUGUUGUCUCAUUUGAGUCAGGUAUGUUGAUACAGCUGAGCCACCGCUAGGGCUGCCGUUUACCCCGUCUUUUCGCCAUAGGAGCCUUUAUGAAGCGGUACAACGUUGUUCCAGUUUCCGCACGCUCGGAGCAGAGCCCGACCUUUUUUUAUCAAGAAAGAGUCGGAGGCUUCAACUUAUCACUGGUAGCUCUAUGGUUAGGUUCGGCGAUUCUGGGCAUUGCAUUUUGUGGACCAGCCAGCAUUCAGCAACCCGAAAAGCUGAGGGACCAGGCCUCAAGACGCUCGGACAGCUGUCAACCACUGCGAGAGUUUUCCUAAGGUGUGUCCUAUAUCUCAGCUAGAGGUUGUUAUCUUGUUGCUCGUCAGGUCGGCAGACAACCUCGAGUUUGUAGCGAAAUUUCAGGUGAUUUGAUUUUUGUUUAUGAGCCGAUUUGCUUUUUGUUGGGUUUCUCGCUUGACAGUUUCUUGGACAACCCUAGGUAGAAAAAAAA